rnacentral:rRNA from 1 species
UACGUAGGGUCCGAGCGUUGUCCGGAAUUAUUGGGCGUAAAGAGCUCGUAGGCGGUUUGUCGCGUCUGCUGUGAAACCCUCAGGCUCAACCUGGGGACGCCACUCGAUACUGCUGUGGCUAGAGUCCAGUAGGGGAGUGUGGAAUUCCCGGUGUAGCGGUGAAAUGCGCAGAUAUCGGGAGGAACACCAGUGGCGAAGGCGACUACCUGGCCCAUUCUUGACGCUGAGGCGCGAAAGCUAGGGGAGCGAACGGG